rnacentral:rRNA from 1 species
GCGGCGAACGGGUGAGUAACACGUGGGUGAUCUGCCUCGUACUUCGGGAUAAGCCUGGGAAACUGGGUCUAAUACCGGAUAUGACCUUCGGAUGCAUGUCUGAGGGUGGAAAGAUUUAUCGGUACGAGAUGGGCCCGCGGCCUAUCAGCUUGUUGGUGGGGUAAUGGCCUACCAAGGCGACGACGGGUAGCCGGCCUGAGAGGGCGACCGGCCACACUGGGACUGAGACACGGCCCAGACUCCUACGGGAGGCAGCAGUGGGGAAUAUUGCACAAUGGGCGAAAGCCUGAUGCAGCGACGCCGCGUGAGGGAUGACGGCCUUCGGGUUGUAAACCUCUUUCGACAGGGACGAAGCGCAAGUGACGGUACCUGUAGAAGAAGCACCGGCCAACUACGUGCCAGCAGCCGCGGUAAUACGUAGGGUGCGAGCGUUGUCCGGAAUUACUGGGCGUAAAGAGCUUGUAGGCGGUUCGUCGCGUCGUUCGUGAAAACUUGGGGCUCAACCCCAAGCUUGCGGGCGAUACGGGCGGACUAGAGUACUUCAGGGGAGACUGGAAUUCCUGGUGUAGCGGUGAAAUGCGCAGAUAUCAGGAGGAACACCGGUGGCGAAGGCGGGUCUCUGGGAAGUAACUGACGCUGAG